rnacentral:rRNA from 1 species
UACGUAGGCGGACUGGAAAGUUGGGGGUGAAAUCCCGGGGCUCAACCUCGGAACUGCCUUCAAAACUAUCAGUCUAGAGUUCGAGAGAGGUGAGUGGAAUUCCAAGUGUAGAGGUGAAAUUCGUAGAUAUUUGGAGGAACACCAGUGGCGAAGGCGGCUCACUGGCUCGAUACUGACGCUGAGGUACGAAAGUGUGGGGAGCAAACA